UAUCAGGGUUGUAAUUUGUUUAAAAGCAGAAGCAACAUGGAAAUGCACACUUGUACUUCCUGUGUCAAAACAGGCAAAUAAACCUUUGGAAGUGGGCCUGAUGGGGAAGAGCAAAGGGCACCCUGAGAGCAGUUGCCAGCCUCUCAGCAGUUGGAGGUGGGACAGAGAGGAAAAGGAGCAAAAACAAAGCUAUGACUGCUGCCAGUUAAACACAUUCCAGAAGCCACAUUCCAGCUAAUUAAAAUUCCUCAUUAUUGAUUCUGAUGUUCAGCGUGGACCCUGCUGUCCACGUGCCUAUAAGUUUUCUGGGCCUUGUUUGUGUCAGGAAGAUGUCCACAGACUCAGUGCCACAUCAUGUCUCAGCCACUGACCACACAGACGCCCAUAGUGACCCAGCUCCUUACCAAAGGCACAGGAUGAGGAGAAGGCGGAUUUGAAUAAAAGUAUGUUGUUCUGACGGUAAACAGUCUUUUAUAGAAAGUGGGAAGUUACCCAUGGAGUGCCCACUCUUUGCUGGACAAAUAUUUCCCUUACUUCCAGAAGCUGCAUUCACUUCCACUGAGGAUCACUCUGUUUCCGAGGUCACCAGUUCACAUGGACACACGGAAGUGUGAGGACACUCCCUGGCUGGACUGACAAGCUGCGUACAUGACAUCGCUCUCACAGGGGCCCGUCCCUGUGACUGAGGAGGUGGCCAGUGCCAGUUAUCUUCCGUGUGUCCUAUAAGCCCAUUGAAAUCUUAGUGAGCCGCUUGCAGUAUGUACAGCCUGCCAGGGCUCAGAAUCUGCCA
rnacentral:lncRNA from 1 species